rnacentral:rRNA from 1 species
GACAGAGGUGCCAAGCGUUAGGCGGAAUCACUGGGCUUAAAGGGUGCGUAGGCGGCGCGACAAGUUGGGUGUGAAAUCCCUCGGCUCAACCGAGGAACUGCGCCCAAAACUGUCGUGCUCGAGGGAGACAGAGGUGAGCGGAACUUAGGGUGGAGCGGUGAAAUGCGUUGAUAUCCUAAGGAACACCGGUGGCGAAAGCGGCUCACUGGGUCUCUUCUGACGCUGAGGCACGAAAGCUAGGGUAGCGAACGGG